UACCCAGAAGAGUGGCUCAAGUUCACAUUCAGAAUUUAUUUGUUGAAAGAGUAUCUCCACUUUAUCACAAUCGAGCACUUCCAAUUCUUUCAGAAGUGGCCAACUUGAACUAAACCUUCUAGAGCAAAAUCUUUUGAGUUGGUGUAAACCAGAGAGAGUGAGAGAGGUAAGGUUAGGGAAUAAGAGUAAAGGUGCUGCUUCAUCUUUAUUUUCAUUGGCAACAAUUGCCUCCACUCCACUCUCCGAUAUAUAUAGGUAAUCAAGUUGCACAAGAGCACUCGCCACAGAAACCGGAAAAAGGUUUAGCAAUUUGUUGCAUCCCCUUACUUGCAAUUUCCUUAAUUUGGAAAAUGAAUUUGCUGGAAGUUGGUCAGGCCACAAUGCUCUUAUAUUAUCUAGUCCACGUACAGACAAGGACUCCAAGCCUGGGAGUGCAACCUGUGCAAUUGAUGAUCCCUUUAGUUAAUAAUAUAUACAUAUACAUUCCUAAUAAUUAGACACAUGUAAAUAGAAAAUAAGAGGUUAAAGGAGAAUAUAUCAGUAUAACAAAGCACAAAAUUUAAACUAGAUUCAAGAAGAUCAAGAAAGAGAAAAGAAAAGAAAAAGCCUCCAGAUUUUGAAGAUACAAUGAAACUUAAAAAAAAAAAAAAAAAACCUCCAAAUUUUCCUUUCGAAAUGAGGUAAUAAGAGGAUUUUUCUUUGCCUCUCUUUCAAAUUUGAUUAACUUCUAUGGAAAACGUAUUUUAACUAGUUAUGGAAAACAUAUUUUUUUUUUUAAACUUUUAUAUAAGAUACAAGUAAUACUUUAAAAAAAUUGUGACAUCUAAAAAAUUUUUUGAAAAAUUAUUUUUAAAGAAAUAAGGUAAAUCUAUACUUUUUGUAUAAGAUGUUCUACCUUUAUAUACAAAUUUCUGAUUUUUUUUUUUUAAAGUGUAUCCAAAUGGACACUAAACUAUCUAGUUUUUAAUUGUUACAACUUUGAAUUGCAUUUUAUGGUAAACUAAUUUACAAGUUAAUGCAUGGAUUCAUCUUAGAUUCCAUCUAUAAAUUUUUUUAAUUAUCUAAUAUAAGACAUUAUAUUAAUGGGUUGAAUUAAUAAUGUAAUUAUAAUUUAUUUGGCAACUUUCUUCCUUCAAAUAUAUAAAAUGAAAAUAAAUUUUAAAAAAUAAAAAAAAAAUGAAAAACAUAAAAAAUAAAAAAAGAUUUUUUUUUAUAGUUUUUCUAAGAUGAUUUUGUAGAGUACUGUUAGUUUAUAGUUUUAACUUUAUUUCAUUUUACUUUUAACUUUAUUUAUUGAGGUAUGUUCUUUUUUGAAACUCUUGUUUAGAUUUUAUAGAGAAUAUAAAUUUUAAGAAAAAAAAUGAAAUUUAAAUAAAAUAAGAAUAAAGAAAGGCAAAAGGUGGAUGAAUUUUUUUAAGGCAAAAGUUUGAUAACUUGGCACUAUCAUGUAAUGGGUGAAAUUUUUAAAUACUCAACAAAGGCUAGUGAAAUUUAAAUUAAAAGCUUGAUAUGUACUUUUUCGACCAAAAUCUUUGGAGUUGGUGUAAAGUUUUGAGUAUGAGAGAGGUUAGUCUAGGGAAUACUAUUGCACAUUAGUUCAAAUAAAACAUCAACAUUUUUUUUUGUUAAAUUCUAAAUGAACACCACUAUAAAUUAAUGCGAUUUUGUAUGCUCAAUUAAAUAAACUCGUUCUUAAGGCAUCACAUGAAGUGUUUAAGUCUAAUGAAUAUUAAUUAAAAAUGAUUAUAUUAAAAAAAUCCAAAGUAAUUUAUUUUUAUCAUAAGUCAAGUAGGAUAGUUUUAUAAAUAAACUGUUCUAGUUUCUAGUAUAAUUGUACACAAUCGCUAUGUUUGUUGCACCUCCAAAAAAUCUACUACUUGUAAUUAAUUGUAUAUUAUUCUCCAUAUUCACAUCAGUUUAUGUAGUAUGAUUAAUUUAGCAACAAAAUAUAAGUUUACUUGAAAUCGCUUUAAAUUCCUAUGAUAUUAAAGUUUAAGAUUAAAACAAUGUAACAUUAGCCAAAAAGACUAAGAUCUAUAAUGUAACAUAUAAAAUUUAGAAAAUUCAAGGAAGGGUAAACUCGCACCUGUUCUACCCAGAAGAGUGGCUCAAGUUCACAUUCAGAAUUUAUUUGUUGAAAGAGUAUCUCCACUUUAUCACAAUCGAGCACUUCCAAUUCUUUCAGAAGUGGCCAGCUUGAACUAAACCUUCUAGAGCAAAAUCUUUUCAGUUGGUGUAAACCGGAGAGUGUGAGAGAGGUAAGGUUAGGGAAUAAGAGUAAAGGUGCUGCUUCAUCUUCAUUUUCAUUGGCAACAAUUGCCUCCACUCCACUCUCCGAUAUAUAUAGGUCCUCAAGAUGCACAAGAGCACUCGCCACAGAAACCGGAAAAAGGUUUAGCAGUUUGUUGCAUCCCCUUACUUGCAAUUUCCUUAAUUUGGAAAAUGAAUUUGCUGGAAGUUGGUCAGGCCACAAUGCUCUUAUAUUAUCUAGUCCGCGUACAGACAAGGACUCCAACCCUGGGAGUGCAACCUCUG
rnacentral:lncRNA from 1 species